UACGUAGGGGGCAAGCGUUGUCCGGAUUUAUUGGGCGUAAAGAGCGUGUAGGCGGCCAAACAGGUCAGCUGUGAAAACUCGAGGCUCAACCUCGAGACGUCGGUUGAAACCGUAUGGCUAGAGUCCGGAAGAGGAGAGUGGAAUUCCCGGUGUAGCGGUGAAAUGCGCAGAUAUCGGGAAGAACACCCGUGGCGAAGGCGGCUCUCUAGUACGGUACUGACGCUGAGACGCGAAAGCGUGGGGAGCGAACAGG
rnacentral:rRNA from 1 species